GGUCCCGUAGUUCAGCUGGAUAGAACGUCAGCCUCCGAAGCUGAAAGUCAGCAGUUCGAAUCUGCUCGGGACUACGA
rnacentral:tRNA from 1 species